UAUAAAUAUUAAGUUAUUAGAAACAAUUAUUUAUUUAUUUUUUUAAAGAAAGGAAACAAUUUCUCGUUUGAACCGGUGGCAAUUAAAAAAAACCACCCUACCUUUUACUUCUAUUUCUCCUUUCUUUUUUCAUUUUUGACCAUUCACACUCUUUCGAAACUCCUCCUCUUUCGAAACCUCUCAUCAUCAUCCUCCAGGCCUCUACCACCGCUGUCACCUAUAACGUCGACUAUGGUUCCCACUUUCACUCCUCCAUCACUUUCGUCACUGCAACCGCCACCGUUCUCUCUACAUUAUUAUCUUAAAUUAGCUUCACAACCAUGAGAACUUCCUGCCUAGAUUUCCCUCCGUCACUGCUGCGAGAAGCUCAAGCCACCUGCACCGGAACCCCCUCCGUCACUACCGUCACCUGCCCUAGAACUCUCUCCACCGUUUCCUCUUAAUUUUUCUCUUAAAUUAGCAGCGAGCAAUAGAGAAGGAUCCUGAAAACUCCGUGGUUGGAUUUGAUGCUUCAGAUCUUAGGAUUUAUAAAAAUUGGGUUCAUGGAAUCCGGUUUUCCAUCAAAAGCAGCCGCAGUUUGAGGCUUUAGCUAUUCAGUUAGCCAAAAGGGAAGGAGAAUUGCUUCAUGAAAAGGAGGAGGUGAAAAGGCUAGCAUACUUUUUGAAGCAGGGUUAGGAAGUGUAACGUAGAGUCCAUAUACUCCCUUUCAGGGUCGACCUGUCUGCACUUUGGUCAGGUUGUAUCAACACGGGUAUGGCUAAGUCAAAUGGUAAAUCCUAGCAUCAAAACUGCUUGAUAUAUACCAGAAAGCUCAGGACAUGGGCCUCAUAUUUAUAUUGAUUAGACAAGGGUUCUAUAUAGUACUAGAGGAACAGUUGGAUUUUCCUAUUCUCUAUGCUUCUGCAAAAGAAGGAUGGGCAUCAUCAGAGUACACCAAGAUCCCCGCUGAAGAAGCUAAGAAUAUGUCGAAUUUGCUUGAUAACACAGCGAAUCUUGAUGCUCCUUUCCAGAUGCUGGUUUGUAUUUGAAUAUGCAUUACUAGAAACUUUCUUGGAUUGUGAUUUGGGGUGGCCUGCAGAUUUAGUCUUCUUUACUGAUGAGGUUAUGACUUUUGCAAAAAAUGCGGAUAAUGAGUUGGUGCAAACCAAAGAGAAAGCUAAUAGUUGCGCACCGAAUGUGCUAAUUAUGUAAUGAGAUAUAUAUGUAUGAGAUAAUACCUUUCAUAGCGAUUGCAAGGGAAAUUUGAAAGAGGAGUAUUUGGCAAGACUUGCAGCCUACAACGAUGUUGAAUUAGAUGAGAUUUGAGAACAAUGCGCUAAGUUUUUUAGGCUUAAUUUGUUGUUGAAAGACUAGUUAUCUUAUUAAUCACUGUUAUGAUUAGUCGCGUUUAGCUUAAUAAAACAAUGUAACACUUUUCUAUAUAUCUACUUUUAUUUAGCUUAUUGAUUGUCAUUACAUUUU